rnacentral:rRNA from 1 species
UUUUGGCUCAGGACGAACGCUGGCGGCGGUGCUUCACACAUGCAAGUCGAACGGGGAUAGAGCGCAGGCUUGCCUAUGCUCUUUCCUAGUGGCGGACGGGUGAGUAACACGUGAGCAACCUGCCCGACAACCCGGGAUAACAGCGGGAAACCGUUGCUAAUACCGGAUACACCAGUAUUAACGCAUGUUAUAACUGGGAAAGGGUUUACCGAUGUCGGAUGGGCUCGCGACCCAUUAGCUUGUUGGUGGGGUAAUGGCCUACCAAGGCUGCGAUGGGUAGCUGGUCUGAGAGGACGAUCAGCCUCACUGGUACUGAGACACGGACCAGACUCCUACGGGAGGCAGCAGUGAGGAAUAUUGGUCAAUGGGCGAGAGCCUGAACCAGCCAAAUCGCGUGAAGGAUGAAGGUAUUAUGUAUUGUAAACUUCUUUUACAGGGGAAUAAAGUGCGGGACGUGUCCUGUUUUGUAUGUACCCUGAGAAUAAGGAUCGGCUAACUCCGUGCCAGCAGCCGCGGUAAUACGGAGGAUCCAAGCGUUAUCCGGAUUUAUUGGGUUUAAAGGGUGCGUAGGCGGGGAAUCAAGUCAGCGGUGAAAGUUUGCGGCUCAACCGUAAAAUUGCCGUUGAAACUGGUUCUCUUGAGUGUAGAUGAGGUGGGUGGAAUUCGUGGUGUAGCGGUGAAAUGCUUAGAUAUCACGAAGAACUCCAAUUGCGUAGGCAGCUCACUGGGCUACAACUGACGCUGAGGCACGAAGGUGCGGGGAUCAAAAAGAAUUAGAUACCCUGGUAGUCCGCACAGUAAA